UUUCUUUCUGCAAGGACACUGCUCUUUGGUGAUGAGCCUUAAUCAGCUUCUAAGCUGCUUUAUUACACAAAGGGCCCAAACCACAGGGAGCCCAGCAGUCCUAGGAGUGGCCCCAGAGUGGUGGGAAGGACAGCUGUUAUAAUAUGAUGCAGUGCAUUGCUGCUGGGCAUCAGAUUGUUGCUUUAGCAAAUCUAAGACCACCUGAAAACCAAGUGGGGUCAGAUGAACUGGAUAGCUACAUGUAUCAGACAGUGGGUCAUCACGCCAUUGAUUUGUAUGCAGAAGCAAUGGCUCUUCCCCUCUAUCGCCGCACCAUAAGAGGAAAGAGCAUGGAUACAGGACGAGUGUACACCAAAUGUGAAGGUGAUGAGGUUGAAGAUCUUUAUGAGCUUUUGAAACUUGUUAAGGAAAAAGAAGAAGUAGAGGGAAUAUCAGUAGGUGCUAUACUCUCUGACUAUCAGCAUGUUCGAGUAGAAAAUGUGUGUAAAAGGCUUAAUCUCCAGCCUUUAGCUUACCUUUGGCAAAGAAACCAGGAAGAUUUGCUCCGAGAGAUGAUAUCAUCUAACGUUCAAGCAAUCAUCAUCAAAGUAGCAGCUCUAGGUUUAGAUCCAGAUAAACAUCUUGGAAAAACCCUGGACCAAAUGGAGCCUUAUCUCUUAGAGCUUUCUAAGAAGUACGGAGUCCAUGUUUGUGGAGAAGGUGGAGAGUAUGAAACGUUCACUUUGGACUGCCCUCUAUUUAAGAAGAAAAUAAUUGUGGAUUCAUCAGAAGUAGUCACACAUUCAGCUGAUGCAUUUGCACCUGUGGCUUACCUACGCUUUUUAGAAUUGCACUUGGAGGACAAGCAUUUGACAUCCUCAGACAGGCUGUUUAUGGGUAACUGCUCAUGUGAGGUGAACUGUAAUGAGGAUAACAUCCUUGCUCUCAAAGAGGAAGAAGACCAAAAUGAAACUCCACCUCUCAUCUGGAAAUCAUUGACUCCCCUUCUACAAAAUAGUCAAAAAUCAAUGAGCUCAGGAAAAUCUCCAAGUGGUUACCAGUGGAUUAACGGCAUCAUAGACACCUUUCUCUCAUUCAGUGAAGAAAGUGUUAUAAUUGCAGCAGCUCAAGCCUUUUCUUCUCUACAAGCUACUAUUAAAUCUAAGAGAUUGGAAUUGAAAGAUUAUUUUGGUCCAUCUCUAUCUGAAAAACAUGAAAGAUUUCUCAUCUAUUAACUCAGCAUAUGUGACCACCUUCAAGCAUUGCCUGCCUACAAGAGUAUGUGUAGAAACUAUGUUGCCAGAAGAAGUACUUUUCUCAAUAGAUUGCCUUAUCCACCAGAGUGACAUAAAGAUUGAUGAUGGUCUCUUUCACCCUAAAGAGAUUCUGCAUGUUCAGAAUAUUUCUCACUGGGCACCUGCUAGCAUUGGACCAUAUAGUCUAUCAAGUGCAGAAAUGUUUCCUGCAGCAUCCUUGGCAUAUGCUUAUCCGGUCUCAAUUUGGAUAUCUUCAGCAAAGGAGCUCAUCAUUUCCUGAAACAAACCAUUCUGUUGGACAACUCUAUUUUAAAAAUCCUUAUGUUGAGCUAAAAUAUGCCUCUUUGUAACUUAUACUCAUUUACUCAUUGUUUUAAGUUUUCCUUCUGGAAUAAGUCAAAACAAGAGAACACUUCAGAUAGCUGUAUUUAAAGCAGAUCUAAAUGCCAUUCCUGUCUUUUUUAUUUUUUAUUUUUUUUGCCUUCUUGUCCCAAAGCAUUGAAGGUAAUUUGCUAAACUUGGAUAAUAAUAAUCAUAAGAAAGGCCAUAUUUGGUAAUAAUUUAAAAGCUAUUUUUACAUUAUACAAAUCCCUCUGACAUUUUGAAGACAAAAAGCCUUUUGUAAUUAUCUUGAAUUACAUUUUUGUAUACAAAAAAAGAGUAAGAAGACUGCCAUCUAUUUUCAGAUGACACUACAUGACCACAUGUGGGCAUGUAGAGAAAAACAAUAUUCAGUUGUAGAGAUAUGACUGAAAUAUUGGGGUGUGCAUUUUUGUUUCCUUUUCAUACAUAGACUGUCUUUAAAACCUGUUGCUUGUGAAUUAAUAAUAAUGACAAUAAUCUUAUAGCAGCUAAUGUUUGUUGAGUACUUACUAUAUGUAAUUCAUGUAUCUUGGUUCUACUUUAGACUGAGUUCUCUGCUCAAUAAAAACUCUCUAAUUCCUUAUAAUGUAAUUUAUGAUCCAAACAGGAUGCUUUGAGCAUCAGAGAAGGUACUAUUAGUAACUACUCUGAGACAAUAGGUAUAACCUGAAGCUGUCCAGGCAGAGGGGGACUUAGAGUCACUCUUCUUGAAGUUGAAUUCUAGUUAUUCCAUUGGCUGAUACUGUUUGCCCAGAAAUUUGCAUAUAUAUGCCACAUUGUUUCAAAAAGUUCUAAAAGGCAUUUUUAAAACAUUAUUAAGUGCUGUUCUCCUUAUGAUUUAAGAUCCCACUUAAACCCCACCCUCUCCAUCACCUUCAUGAUUGAACAAUGUAGUUUUAUAAGCAAAAUUUACUACUUUUUUCAUAAUUUUUCAAAAAUGAUAAAUAUCCAUUGUUCUUUUUCCAUUCUUCUUCAGCUAAAAUGGAGGAAACAGUAGGGCUUAGAAGUCUAGACUGCCUAUCCUCACCUGCCAGCCCUUAAGGUAUUCUCAAAAUGGGAGAAGAGGUAUAUUUUGAAGAAUCAGAGCUGUUGUGUUAAUAAUCCCAGAUUCCAGACCUAAUUAAAAGUCAGAGCAUGGAGAGCACCUAGUGCUUCCAAAUUAUUUUGCAAAAAUGCUAUAUUUGCAAAACUAAUCCCAUGAUCCCUAAAGAAUGCCCAUCCUUAUUCUAAGCAGUGUUCUCAGUCUUGGCACCAUCACAUGGGGCUGAUUCCUGAGUUUCACUCUGACUUAAUUGGUCUAGGGAGGGGCCUAGGUUUGAGAUUUUUUAUAUAUAUCUAAGGUUGAAAGCCACUAUUGUAAAGCUACACGGGGGAAAGAAAAGAUUUUUUCUAGGCCCAAGAUUUGUGAUUGCAAGUGCUGGCAUAAGUAAAGUGCAUGCAGGAAGAUCACAUAGAUUCCAGAUUUUCACACCUCAAGAUCAAUGCAUCACUCUGAAACAUCUGGUUGAUUCUAAAGGAAACUUUCAGAAUCUUGCUGGUCAGAUCAAGGGGGGAGGAGAUUCAUAUUUUUCCCCCAAAAUAUGUCCUUUUAACCUCAACCUGGCAGAAAUCACUUUAGAUCUUCUGUUCAUAAAUUAAAGAACUAUGUGAGUUCCUUUUUGCAAUAUUGCAUACUCUAGAAAUUGGAUCAAAACAAUGAUUAGGGAAAUAUAAUGUGUAUCCAGUUUCUUUUGUUAGUAGAAGAGAAAAACAGCGUAGAAAUACUUAUUUCCCUCUGUUCUUGCCUUUGUACUCUUUAAAAUGGGUUUAAGAUAGUUACUGUUUAUCCUGUCGCUAAGGAGGCAAGUUUCACACAUUAAUUUUCAUUAGGAGCAAUAUCAGAUGAUUACCAUACAGAAGUGCCUCCUCUUUUUAUGCUAUCUUUUCUAAUUUAUACGUUGCCACAGUCCAUCACCCUACCUGUGCUAGCUCUAGGAUGUGUUGAGGAAAAUAUUUUUUCACUUUAGUACCAAAUAUUUUUUUCUUAAUGACUCAAUAUCAUCAUGUUGCUUUAUUUUUUUAACCUGUAUAUGAUUUUCUUUCCUGACUAACUUAUGUCCAAAAAAGGUAGCUGCUAAAUCAUGAUUUUGACCCAUUGAUUGGAUAUUUCUGAUUCUACUUACUAGAAUGAAAUGAAUCUCACAUGAGCCAGCAGCUUAGUUGUCACACCAAACACUGGUCCAUAACACUGCCAGAAGGUCGUACUGCAAUGAAACUUCAGUUCCGAGAGUUAACAGUUUCCUCACGCUCCUCCCUCUGUCAAGUAUGUUUAGCUGAGCUUGUGCGUAUGACUUCAGUUCAUAAAAAGUUUACAAGUGCAGCUGGAAUGCUUAGCAUUUGAUUGUUACAUAAAUAAGUAUUUGAGAACAUAUGUAAACUUGACAGUGUUAGUACCAGAUGUUCCAGUAACACAAUAAUGUACUUUGAAUGUCCCUUCUCAUUUCGGCUUGUUUAUUUUGGCACUGUUUCGUUAUCUGCUAAGUUUCAGAUAAGCACAUAUUAACUCCAUCCAUAGUGUUGAUCCUCUUAUUGUUACAAUCAAGUUAGAUGUAUUACAUUUAGUGUGUAGAAGUACAAAUAGCAUAGACAUUAAUACACAAAGUCACUUUUUACACAUCCCCAUAAAAUACAAAUAUUUCACUUCCUUAAUGUUUAUGGUAUAUAAAGAAUAAAGAAAUCUUCUCUGGGCAUAUGAAUGUACUCUCAUCUAUUUAGGAAUUGCCCUUCCAAUUAUGAGUUUUCCAAGUAUUUUCUUUCUCUUUUUGACCACCAGGCACUUCAAUUAAGAGAUUUCUGUCUCUUGCACAAAUUCCCCUGCCUUCCUCAGGUCUUUUCCAUCCCCUUACCAUAGUUGACUCUAUCUUGAUAUGUAAAAGCUAUUGGCAUUCAGAAGCACAAUUUUUGCUUCUUUUUGGUUUUAUUUUGCAGUUAUUCCAAACUCACUGAAGAAUUGUGAAAAUAAGAAUGGUACAUAGAACACUUAUAUAUCUUCUUGCUAGAUUCACCUGUUGUUGACAUUUUGCCCCAUUUCCUUUAUCAGAUGAGUGUGCUCACUCGCUCUCUCUCCCUCUCUCUUUGCAUAUGUGUAUGUAUGUGUGUAUAUAUAUGUGUAUAUAUAUACAUAUAUAUAUAUACCAUGUAUAUAUUAUGAAUGUGUUUAUGUAUGUAUGUAUACAUGUGCACACACAUUUUUUUUCUGAAACUUUUAAAAGUUAGUUGCAUGAUCUUUUACUCAUAUACUUCAGUGUGUAUUUUUUCUCAGAAUAAUAUUGUCUUACAUACAAGUAAAUUUUAAAUAGAUAUUUUUUUUUUCCUAAUCGUCCAUCUGUAUUCCAAUUGUGUUUGUUAACCCAGUGGUAUCCAUUGUAAGAUACCCAGGUCUGGGGCUUCCCUGGUGGCACAGUCGUUGAGAGUCCGCCUGCCAAUGCGGGAGACACGGGUUCGUGCCCCGGUCCGGGAAGAUCCCACAUGCCGCGGAGCGGCUGCGCCCGUGAGCCAUGGCCGCUGAGCCUGCGCGUCUGGAGCCUGUGCUCCGCAACGGGAGAGGCCACAACAGCGAGAGGCCCGCGUCCCACAAAAAAAAAAAAAAAAAAAAAAAAAGAUACCCAGGUCUUACUUUUGGACUCAGAUUGCACAUGUUGUAUGUGUUCCGUAUAGUUAUAGGGCUCUGGGAACCUUAGUGGCCCAGCAGUUUACUAGGGAAGUAACUUCUUUAGAGGAAAAAAUCCAAAUAUGGUCAAGAAUGAAAGCAAAAAGUUUAAGCCAGAAAUUCAGUUCUAAGCCUCAGAAUGAGAGGUUAUGCAAGGCCCAAAAAGGACAAUCAAUCAUGAGAUGGGGAAACGUGGUACAAUAUGUGUUAAGCCAAGAGAUUUAAAAUGAAUGCCCUGAGAUUGAUGGAGGUCUGUCUUUAUAUGAAAACAUCUCUACGGUAAAGAAGCAAGCUUGACAACCUAAAAGAGCCAGAUUCUGCCUUGCUUGGGCUUUGCCUGAUAGAAGAUUGUGACUCAGUUAGUCACAUGGCUUUUGUGAGAUGAGAUUCCCUCAGUGAUCCUCUGGAGCAGAACCAAAAUGGCUUCAGAGAUGAAGGAGUCCAAGACCUCCUGUACUGGUUGCCUCUGAUCAUGAGGGAAGGGGUAGAGCGCCAUCCAAGUAAGAGUAAAAAUGGUAAGAAGUAACAGGGAAAAGGAGUAAAAGGCAAGUGAGUAAAUGAUUUCUAAUUUUCAGAGUGGACCUAGGAAACAUGCUUCAGGUUUGUCCAAUGGAUGCAGCACAGUUCUGGAGGGAAGAGAGUCAACUAAGUUUACUGCUUGAAUUGUUUCCUUUGGUGGAAAAUGUGUUUUAUUUGUAUGUAAUAUUGUAAAAAAAUUUUUUAGAAACACACUGUGUUAUAAAUUUCAAGCUUGCCUCCAAAGAUACAGGAAAACAAGAAAAAUGUGCAUGAAGUUAAGUAAGAGUAGACCUAAUUAGCAUUCUUAUAGAAUGAGCUGUAGAUUUACUGGAGACUUACAAAAGGGAAAAAUACCAGAGCACCAGACUAGCACAUCAAUCAUUUGAAAUUGUCUGACAGUCUUGAAGAGGAUAUCCUGGCUGCAGAAAGCACAUAGCUGUCUUAAGGCUAGGGGCCCAGGUCAGAACUUAAUAAGAACAAAAGAUGAGCAAUUUUGAGAGGAACCAGCUGGCUUAAGGUGAUCCAAAGUGCACAGAUGUUAAAGGCUUACUGUUCCAACAAUACCAUUACCUAACACAAGACUUACAGAAUAACCAUCAAAAAAAUUACACAACUUGAUUUACCACGUUGACCCUUGAGAUCUAACAAUAUAUGUGUUUCUGUUGCACCAUACUAAUUUUCUAUUUCUACUUUCAUGUUAUUUUACUUUGUGUCUUCUGGUUGAUGGCUGUAAGAAAGGACAGAAUUUCUUAUAAAAGUUGAAAAAUAAAAGGUAACUGAUCUUUCUUAGAAAUAUAUAUAGAAUCCUGUUGAUGUGAGAUAUUUAAGUAGGUUUUUAAAAUGGCUUAAGCACAAUAACCAGGAAUCUAUAAUUUCCUCUGUGCUUGCAUCAAAAUUCCUCAAACUCUUAACACAGGUGGUUUUGUGGCAAGCAGAGAGAUGGUAGAUCUCAAAUCAAUUAUGACCCUUCUGAUGUGGUAAUCGAAUGUAAAAGGGAGUAAUCUAAAACAUAAAAUCUAAGUGGUUUGAGUCAUGGGAGUAGUCAGGAACUGAAAACAAAAGUGGUUUGGAAAAUGUUCAUUUUGCUAGUGCAGAGUAUGUUGCAGUUAAAGUCAUGAAAGAUAUUUCUACUUUCUUUAAGACUGUGGUCAUUGUCUUCUAUCAGUGAUAUUGAACACUUUGUGAGUGCAAGAAAUGUUACUGAUAAUUACAUGGAAGCAUUACAUACCCUAGAAAAGAGUCACUGUGUACCAUUUAAAGAUAUUUAAAAUGAAUCACAGACCAUAUUAUAGUAGAAUCAACUCUUUGACUCGGAGGUACCCAGCUUUAUUUAUUUAGUAAGGAGUAUUAAGUACUUAAAAAUAAAAAACCUUUAUGCCUGUCUCUGUGGCAUUACUGAGUACAUGGGCUGGCCAUGUGAAAAUUCCUUGUCGCAUGCGCCAUGCCAUACAGGGAGGCUUCCCCAUUUGCACUUAAAUAAAGAUGUGAAGACAAUAAUGUUAAAAGUGAUCCUCUAUGACUGGUUGUCUCUAUUUUCAAUUCUAGGACAUAGUAACUGCAUAAAUAAGCAGGAUUUCAAAUUUGAUUAUUAAACUCUGUAAGUACAUCACGUUCUUUUGUUAUUUGUAUUCAGAGAAUGUGAGAGUGAAGCUAUCUAAUUUAGCUGCAUUAAAAAACAACAUCCUUUUAAAAAAAAACAACAUCAAAAUAGCUUCAUGGAUGAGCUUUGAAGAAUGGCUUAAACAUACUGUUUUUUUCUUUCUUUUCAGGUUAGUGUCACUUCAAAAAUAAAAAUAAAAAUAGGCACUCUUACUGGAACUUUAGGAGUAAUGCUGGGUAUAAACAGGCUUAGAAUAUACUUAACUGUAGUAAUCCUUCCCGACACACAUCGAGAUGAAUUAAUAACCAGAUUUGGCAUUUCAAGUAUUUUUUACCCAGGGCAAGGGCUUUAAGGUGUUUUCGUGGUAUUAGAGAGUUUAGAGAUGAAGAAGGUGCCAUUUAUUAUUUUCUCUUUCUGUCAGCUUAGGACUUCUCUUUGCAAUCACGUUUAUAAUACUGGGCCUAACUGUUCUUAAAUGUUUUACCUGUUGAAGAGUGUUCCAGUCAAUGUAUAGCCAAGGUUUUGACUGAAUAAUAGUCUGUUAAAAUCAGAUAAGAUAAUUUAUUGGAAAGGAACCUGGACUUGGAAUCAUAAGUGAGUUCUAGUCAGGAUCUUGUAUUGAUCUUGAGCAAAUCACUUCCUGUCUCUCGGUUCCUUAUUUUCUCAUAUGAAAUGCAAAAGAUUUUGGGUAGACUGCAAGAUUCCUCUGGUGUGAAAUGGAUUCCAUCAGUUAAGCAUCAAAUAAAUAAGUCCUUUAAUCAUGUUUACCACAUCAACUGAUCAGUUCAGCCAAAAUAUUUAAACCAUUUAUAAUAAGACUACAGACAAUCAGAAAACGACAUUGUUACAUCUUGAGAAUGUCAGGUAUCUGCUUUCCUAAUAUUGGUACUACUUUGCCAAGUAAUAGCAAUUUAAAAGAUCUUUCUCUCAAAUAUGAUAGUAGUAUACCAUGUUGCUGCACUAUUUUCUAAAAGAAUACAACCGCAGCUUACCUACUGCCAGGGUCAUAGAUGAUCAAUGAAAAAAGUGAUUAACUUUCACAAUCCUACUUUCUCAUGGGAUUCAAAGAAGAAAAUAUCUGUCCUCCUUAAAAAAAAAGAUGGUUCCAUAUAUUCCCAUUCUUCCAAAAAGCUGAAUGUCCAAUGGAAAGUAAGUAGUCAUGAAACCAUUUUUUUUAACUUGGUAGCUCACUGAUUUGAAUAAUUUUCUCUUCACCAAACUGAUAGAAUAUUUUACUGUAUCAACAGAUUAUUUCUGAUUGCAAAGACAUAACCUCACAGUAUUCUUAUAGUGAAAAAAGCGUAGAAUUUCAAGUCAGGAGAUCUAGAUGCAAGAAUCUGUUCUAUCACCUAUCAUAUACAUAUGAUUAGGGUAAUUCUUUUAACAUCUUUGAGCCUCAGUUUCCUUAUUUUUAACAAAGUGGUAGCAGGAAUACUUACUUGUCUCUGGAGCUGUUGUCUGGAUGCAAUGAAAUAAUGAAUGUGAAUCAUAAAGGCUAGUAUGCAUUGUUAACAUUGUCUUUAAAAAUAUUCAAAAAUAAUUAAUAUUUCAUAAAUUUUUAUUUCCAUCUGACUACAUAUUAUUAAAACUCAAAUAUUAAAGGGGAAGAAAGGAAGGGAAAUGGAACCAAAGUUUCUUGAGCACCCUGCCACAAUGUCAGGAAAAGCUGGACAACAGCUUUAUCCCUAACUCCUACAUAAUGUACUUUCUAACUCCUGUGUUAGAGACAGGGCCUCACAUGUUAUCACCUCCAUAACAGAAGGGAACUAAAUACCUUUCUGGGUGCUGUAAAUUGUGGAAUAAAGAACAGUUGCUCGAAUAUGGAGAAACUUUAGGUUUUCCUCCACUACCUCACUCCUGUACCAUUUUUCCAAAUUUUAUUUUCUUAAUCUAUAAACCAUCCAUAAUCAUAUCACCUACAAGUCUAAUGGAUGUGGCUGCACACCAAGCUGUGAACUGAUUUUCUUUUCGGAAGAUUGCUAUUUGAGUUGAAAUCCAGGUGGAUUUUUUAGUUGAAAUGCCAUGAGAAAAAAAAAAUGAAAACUUUCUUCAUUAUGAAUAUGAGACAAUUACUUUUCAAAAAUUGCAGCCCUAAUCCAAGAAGGGGCCACAAGGUUUAAUUGUGGGUAUGCUAUUUACAGAUUAAUUAGGACGUUUAACUUCAUUUUUUAUACCACAGAAUUAAUCCCAUAAAAAUUAGUGAUCUCGAAGGAGUCAGUUGUCAACUCUGACAGGAUCCCUUUGCCAUAAUCUAUUAAAAUGCUGCUUUUAUCUUGUCUUGCCUGUGUCAUAUUUUAUGGAUUUUUUCAUAAACACUGCCUAUACUUCAUAAAUGUCUCAAUUUUCUAGUCUAUUAACAUUACUUCAAAAGCAAUUGAUAAAAGAGUAGGGCAUGCAUGAAAUAAUACACCAAUAAUGUGAAGUGCUGGAGGCAAGAACAGUGGGUAGGAUCUGCACAGCUUGUGAGCUGAAACAAUGAAAGGUUGUUUUAUCUACUAUGAUAAAGAAACAAAUGAUCAUUUUUGAUAGUAGAAAAAAGAUUGCUAGUAAUUGGGCAGAUGAAAAAUGGGUUUCACAGAAAAUACAGCAUAUUUUGAAAAUGAAACUGAAAUGAGAAAAUAAACAUCCCCAAGUAUAUGUUUACAUUAUGGGGAACCUUUUCCAUUUGGUUACUAAAGAUUUGGUAUUUGGCCUGAUUUAGCUUAGGCAUGAUAGUCUUAUUCUAAUUGUAAACAAUAUUUCUUUUGUAUGCAUAUAUUUAAUAAACCUAUUAAUAUAUGUAUGUUAUCUAUUAACUACAAUAAAUGUUAGAAUUAGUUUUUUUAAUCUUUAUAAUUUUAUUAUUUUGGUUUUUGAAAUAAGUUUAGUUUUUCUUUUGAAUGUAUAAAUGAUAUAUCUGUAGCAUCCUCUUUAUUUUAUUUUUCUCUUUAUAUUUUUAAAGUGCUAGUAUCUGACCUAGGUUGAUAUAAUGAAAUGAGUACCUUAUCUGGAUUUGUGCCACAAAUCUAAGUCACAAGUACAUCAUCAGACAUUUCAAAACAUCAGUUAUUAAAUCAAUCAAAUAAAUAUAUUUAAAUCAAUCGAACAGAAGACAAAGAAAAGAAGGAACAUUAAGUAGAUGCAGAAUUCCUGAUUUUCCUUUCAUUUUAUUCUUUAUAUUUUACCACCUGAUUUAGCUAAAUGAAACCAUAUGCUGUUCUGGACUUUCAUUUUUAAAAUAUCAUGCUUUAUGAAAUGAGUGACCAUAGGUCCCAAUAUGCCUGGACAAUCCCAGGCAUAUUGUUUACCUGUAAUUAUCAAUAACUCCUUCUCUCACUUUCAAAAAUGUUUUGACUUGGAAACAAGACUAUUUUGUUGUUGCUCAGGUCAAGAAAUAGGCUUGACUAACUCCAUUGUGAUCAUUCAGUUCUAACACUUGGAAAGUGAAUGGUUUUUCUCAAACUGAGAGAUAGUGAUAGAAUAGGUUGUUGCAUUGUACUAGUGGUACUCUAUAAAGUACGCAAUGUAAUUGAAUAGGACCCAGCAUAAUGAUACUGUAUGUUCCUGUGACCUCACAGGGGCACGGGAAAUCAUGAUCAAGGAGAUUUUGUAGUCCUCAAAUGUUGCAAAGAAUAUUUUAGAACGCUGAUCCUCAGUACUAAUGUAAGGAAACAGUCACCAGAAUUAUGUGAGUAAUAUCCAGACUUACCAUGUAGGGUAAAAGACAGUAAGCAACAUAACAGUUUACUAACCUGACCUAAUUUCCACCCAUGUCCCAAACUCAUUUUUUUCAAUCUUCCCCAUCACAUCAUAAAUAUUCACCCAGUUGUUCAAGCCAAAAACCUGGGGAUUUUCCAUGUCUCCUCUUUCGUCCACUGUAUGCACCAACAAAUUCUGCCCCUUCUACUCCUAGAACCGAGUCAGAGUCUGUUUUUCUUCCCCACCCUCACAAUCGUAUUCCAAGCUACCUUCAUCCUUCUCCAUGGUCUUACAACAGCUGUGUUAUCUGAUUUCCCCACUUCUCCUCUUGCCUUUUUCCCCCAAAAUUCAUUCUCCACAUAGUACUCAAGGUGACAUUUUUUCUAAGAAAUUUUUGACAUAUUUAUUUAUUUAUUUUAAAAUUUUUAUUAGAGUAUAGUUGCUUUACAAUGUUAAGGUGACCUUUUAAGAAUAUAAAUCUGCGAAGAUAAACAAGUGAGAUUUCAUCAAACUAAAAACCUACUACACAGCAUAGGAAACAAUCAACAUAGUGAAAAGGCAAACUAUGGAAUAGCAGAAAAUAUUUGCAAACCAUAUAUCUAAUAAUGGGUACAUUUCCAAAAUAUAUAAGGAAUUCCUACAACUCAAAGGCAAAGAAACUAGUAACCUGAAUUUAAAAGGUCUAAAGACAUGUCAAAUAGACAUUUCUUCAAGGAAGAUACACAAAUGACCAACAGGUAAUGUCACUAAUCAUCAAGGAAAUGCAAAUCAAAGUCACAGUGAGAUACCACCUCAUGCCUAUUAAGAUGGCCAUUUAAAGAAAAGGACGACAAAUGUUGACAAGAAUGUGGAAAGGUUGGAACCCUUGUACGCUGUUAGUGGGAAUGCAAAAUGGUAUUCAUAUGGAAGACAUAUGAAGGUUCCUCAAAAAAAUAAAAGUAGAAAUACCAUAUGGUUCAGCAAUCCCACUCUGGGUAUUUAUCCAUAAGAAUGGAAAUCUUGAAGAAAUAUUAGCACUCUCGUGUUCCACAGUAGCCAAUAUGUGGAAUCAACCUAAAUGUCCAUUGAUGGAUGAAUGGAUAACAAACAUGUGGUGUAUACAUACAAUAGCAUAUUAUUCAGCCUUUUAAAAAAAGAAAAUCCUGCAAUAUGCAACACAAUAUGGAUGAACCUUGAAGACAUUAUGCUAAGGGAAAUAAGUCAUUCAUAGGAGGUCAAAUAUUGCGUGAUUGCAGUUAUAUGAAGUAUCUAAAAUAGUCAAACUCAUAGAAGCAGAAAGGAGAAUGUUGGUUGCCAGAGGCUGGUGGGAAGGAGAAAUGAGGUGUUGCUGAUCAACAGAUAAAAAGUUCCAGUUAUACAAGAUAAAUAACGUCUAUAGAUCUGCUGUACAACAUUGUGCCUAUAGAUAACGAUGCUAUAUUGUACACUUAAAAAUUGUACACUUAACAGUACUGUUAAGAAGAUAGAUCUCAUGCUACAUGUCUUACCACAAUACUAUAAAAAAUUUUAAUGUAAAUCUGAGUACAUAAUUCAGUACUUUAAGUUGAGGAUAAAAUCCAAGCUCUUCACUGUGGUCUAUGAGCACUAUAUGAUAGAAUCCAUCUCCCUCAUCUCCUGUCAUUCUCUCCCUUUUCCCCAUUCUCCAGCCAUACUAUCUUUUACUUAUGUCCAUCCAGCAUACCAAGCUUAUUCUUGUUUGAUGUUGCCUCUGAAUGUCUGGCUCCUUUUUCAUCAGAUUAUCUUUUAUGAGGCCAUCCCUGACUAUCUUAUUGAGUACUAUUUCAACUCACCCCUCACUCCAGUUCCUUUCUUACCCACCCUGGUUCUAGACCAGUGAUGAUGACUUGAAGCUAGCUUUGUCAGUUACCUUGGCAAAUAUCAGCAUAGUAGCUAACAUUUAUUGAGCUCUUACGAGGUAGGUGCCAAAACUGUUCUUAAGGUUUCACAUGAAUUCUACUUCCCACAAUAAUCCUAUGAGAUAGAUGCUAUUAUUAUUCUCUCUUUAUAGAUGAGAAAACCAAAGCACAGAAAGGAUAAAUAACUAACUAGGAUCUGGCAAAACCAAAUUUUGAACACAGAUUUUCUGGCUCUUUACCACUACCCUGUGCUGCUUUCUGUGUAGUAGCGUGAACGAAGCCAUGUAGUCAGGAGAGUCUUUGGGGGGUUUGAAGACUAACGUGAUUGCAGAAAAGAUAAAACCACUUGAGGACAAAGGCCAGAAACAGCAUAGAUGAAUCACCACUACUGAUUAUGGACAGAAAAAAGCAGAGCCUGGCACCAGCCAAGAUGAAAAUGUAGGUCAACUGGUGAUAAGUCAAAUGCAGAUAGAAGGAUGAAAGCAGAGGCAGGCAUGAAGGCUGCCGGGCAUGCUGAGCUCUUGUGUGUGAGUUCAGCUCUAGGCUCUCUUUUCAUGCUGUACUUCCUUUCUAGGUAAUCUCAUCCAUACAUAUGACUUCAGUUACCACUUAUGUAUAUACAAAUGACUCACAAAUUUAUCUCCUUAGUCUAGAUCAUUCCUUAGAGCUCCAGACUUUUUUAUUGAAGUAUAGUUGAUUUACAACGUUGUGUUAAUUUCUGUACAGCAAAGUGACUCAGUUAUACAUAUGUAUAUUCUUUUUCAUAUUCUUUUCCAUUAUGGUUUAUCACAGGAUAUUAAAUAUAGUUCCCUGUGCUAUACAGUAGGACCUUGUUAUUUAUCCAUCCUAUAUAUAAUAGUUUGCCUCUGCUAAUCCCAAAGUCCCAAUCCUUCCCUUUCCUUCCCUACCCUCCCUCCCCCUUGGCAAUCACAAGUCUGUUCCCUAUAUCUGUGAGUCUGUUUUUGUUUUGUAGAUAUGUUGAUUUGUGUUGUAUUUUAGAUUCCACAUGUAAGUGAUAUCAUAUGGUAUUUGUCUUUCUGACUUAACUUGGCUUAAUAUGAUAAUCUCUAGAGCCAUCCAUGUUGCUGCAAAUGGCAUUAUUUCAUUCUUUUUAAUGGCUGAGUAGUAUUCCCCCACAUCUUCUUUAUCCAUGCGUCUGUUGAUGGACAUUUAGGCUGUUUCCAUGCCUUGGCUAUUGUAAAUAGUGCUGCUAAGAACAUAGGGGUUCAUGUAUCUUUUCGAUUUAUAGUUUUGUCUGGGUAUAUGCCUAGGAGUGGGAUUGCUGGAUCCUAUGGAGAGCUCCAGACUUUUUUGUGUGUGUGUGUGUGUGUGGCUGCAUUGGGUCUUUGUUGCUGCACGUGGGCUUUCUCUAGUUGCAGCAAGCAGGCUUCUCAUUGCGGUGGCUUCUUUUGUUGCAGAGCACAGGCUCUAGGCACACAGGCUCAGUAGUUGUGGCACUUGGGCUCAGUAGUUGUGGCUCGCGGGCUCUAGAGCACAGGCUCAGUAGUUAUAAUGCACGGGCUUAGUUGCUCCGCAGCAUGUGGGAUCUUCCCAGACCAGGGCUUGAACCCGUAUCCCCUGCAUUGGCAGGCAGAUUCCUAACCACUGCGCCAUCAGGGAAGCCCCAGACUUUUAUAUCUAAUGCCAUUUUGUCAUCUCUUCCCACAUGUGUCAAGAGAAAUCAAACUUAGCAUGCCCAAACCACAAUUCAUGAUUUUUCCCUUAAACCUUGGCCUCUCCCAAUGGCCCUAAGUCGGUGACACAUAAACACAAAACCUUGGUGUCACUCUUCAAAUCUCCCUUUUCCUUACUCUCAUUUUUCAUAUCCAAAUGUGAUAGGAUAUCAAAUGAUCUUCUUCCUAAAUAUCUCUGCAAUCCAUUCACUUCUUGCCAUUUCUCCCCAGAGUCUUAGUACAAGCUCCCAUCAUUACUCACCCAGAUUAUGCUAGCAGCUUCCUCAUUGGUCGUGGUAUCCCUCUGGCUCUCCAGCCAGAGUGAUAUUUUCUUAGAAGUGCAUAAUUGACAGUGUUGACCCCUUUAUUCCUUCUCCAUCAUGGCUCUUUCCACCUCAACCACACUGUCAGCUCCCAUUCAUUCAUUCAGCUACAUUCUAGGAGCUGAAUAUGCAGCCCUGGUCUUAUAGAUUUAUAUUUUAGUGGAGAAGCAGACAUUAAAUACAAAAACAAAUAGAAUAAUUUCCGAUUCUACUAAGUACUGUGAGGAAAAUAGAUUAGGACACAGAGAUAGAUAAUAAUUAGGAGAGGUGUCACUUUUGGGUUAGAGAGUCGGGAGAGUCUUUUCCCCAAGGAUUAGCUGUGUGAAGAUCUGGAGAAAGAGGCAGGAAGGAGCUGGGGUGGGGAGAGCAUAGUGAGUGAGAAAGAAAAUAGUCAGAGAUAAGGUUGAAGAGGUAGGAGGUGGGGAUAAGGGAAGAAGAAAAAGGGAUGAUCUGGCACAUAUUCUGGAGGUAGGGCUAACAGAAUUUGCUAAUGGUUGGUAAAAGAAAGGUAGGAAUUAAGGAUGAUGCCUAGAUAUUUGGCUUGACCAUCAAAUGAAUGGUAGUCCUAUAAAUUGAGAUAAGGAAGAGUAGAGAAGGAGCAGGUUUGGUGGGGGUGGGGGAAAAUUGAGUUUUUGUUUCUGUUUUUGUUUUUUUUUGGCUGGGGCAGGUUAACUUUACAAUAUCUGGUAGACAUCCAAGUGGCUAUAUCAAGCAGGUAAAUAAUUAUAUGAGCCGGGACCUCAAGGGAGAGGGCAGGGCUAUAGAUAUAAAACUGAAAGUCAUAGCAUUUAGAUGGAGAUUAAAAUCUGGAAACUGAGGGAUUCCCUGGUGACGCAGUGGUUGAGAGUCUGCCUGCCGAUGCAGGGGUUCGUGCCUCGGUCCAGGAAGAUCCCACAUGUCGUGGAGCGGCUGGGCCCAUGAGCCAUGGCCACUCAGCCUGCACAUCCAGAGCCUGUGCUCCGCAACGGGAGAGGCCACAACAGUGAGAGGCCCACGUAACGCAAAAAAAAAAAAAAAAAAAAAAAAAAAAAAUCUGGAAACUGAAUUAAGUUACCUACAGAGAAAAGACAGAAAAGUAAAAAGGAGAGGGAUCAAAUCCUGAAGCACUCUUAAUAAGAUCAGUUAAUCUCCUUUUAUGGAUCUCUAUCUGUUAGAGAUAAAAAGAAAACCCAAGUAUGGUAUCUCAGAAGUGAAGGAAGUACUUAAAGAAUGAGGUGGUGGGGAACAAUAAAGAAGAAUUAGUUAGCAGGACAGAUGCUACUCUGAAUAGAAUAAGGUGAAGAUAGGGAACUGACUUCUGGAUUUGGCAAAAUGGGGGUUGUUGAGAACUUAGACAAGACUGAAUUCAACAGACUGGUGGAGAGAAAAGCCUGAUAGCUAUUGGUUAAAGUGCAAGUGGGAGAAGAGACAGUGGUUAUAGACAACACUUUCAAAGAUUUUUGCCAUAUAGAGGAACAGAAAUAGGGCAGUUGCAAAUUGGGGCCAAGAGAUUACUGUUUUUCAGGUGGAAGUCACUGCAGCAUAUUUUUAUGUUAAUGGGUAUAAUCCAAAUGAGAGGAUAAAACUGAACACAUAAGACAGAUAAAUGGUAUUUUCAGAAUCCAAGCCUUUGUGUUGGCAAGAUGGAUGGGAACUUUAAGUGGAGUGGUUAAUCUUAAAUAGAAGCAGGGAUGAUUCUAUUGUGAUCUGAGGGAAGGUGCAAUACGCGGGCUCAUCUGCUUGUAGAUUUAGUACUGGGAAAAUGAAAUAAGAAGCCAGGUCAUCAGCUUAGAGAAGAUGAGGAAUACAAUUGUUGUCAGGAGAAUGGGAAAGUUAAAAUACUAGGGAAAUGUAGUAGGACUGGGCAACAAGAAAGGCCUGCUUGAAAUCUGUGAUCAUAAAUUUAAUGUGGUACCUGCCUGCACAAUCAUGUGUUUUUCUCCAGCAACAUUCAGCAGCUUGGAUGGUGGCACAAAGCAGUUGGAGAGUUGGGUGUAGCUUUGGGGGUUUUGACAAAUAAAACUGGGUAGCAAAGAGCAAAGGAGUUAAAGGUAUGAUGAAAGGAAUAGAGCCUGGAAUCUGAGACAGGCAAGGAGGGAUGAGAACAUAUGAAGGGGGAGGUAGGAGUACAGUAAAAAGUGGUAGAGUCAGUGAAUUGGAAGUCUUCUAAAAAAUCUAGAAGGAGGAGACUGGAACAAGUAAGCUCUAAAAUUAGAAGGUGGUAGUUAGCAAAUGGGAUAUUUAAAAUCAAGAUUUUGAAAGUAAUUUGGUUAUUGGUGAUGAUGAAGUUGGUCAGUGUUUUUCACACUUUUUGGACUGGACACAGUAAAUAAUAUGAUUUUCAAAACAACUUAGAAUGCUCAUACGUAUAUGACAUGUAACUGAAAGAAAUGUUUAUGAAACAAUGUUUACCUUACUUAACGUAACAAGCUAAUAUUUUAAAAUCUAAUCUAUGUUAUACUUAAAAGAAGAAAAACUGUUUAUAACUCAUUAAAUCAAAUCAAACAUUAUUUAUUUUUAUGAUUACUAACGGACCAAAACUUGUAGUUUUGUAAACACAUUAGAGUCUACAUUGGAGUUUGUACUCUAAUGACCCCGGGAAUGGGUAGUUAAGGUGGAGUGGGGACAAAGGUUGUUGGAAAUGUAUGAUUCAGACCCCUGAGAGUCCACAGGCAGAUGGAUUAUCUGUCUCAACAUGGAAGCCACCAAGGAUGACAGGAGUAAUGGCACAGUGGAAGACCGUGAAAUAGAUGCUCUCUUAGUCCAUGAAUGAGUUCGGUGAUGAGGUGAUAGGUGCUUGACAAUAUAAAGUAGGGGAAGUGGUGAUAAAGUCUGCUGGUGGUUUGUGCUUCUAAGAGGCCAUAGGUUUUAAGGAACUGGAAAGGACACACCAGCCCCAAGUCCUAUAGUGUGGGGUGGGAAAGAAAAAAAGAGCUCCAUUUUGAAAGCCUCAGGGGAAGAUGUGGACUUGGAAUAUAGCCUGGUUUCACUGUGAGCAAUAAGGUGAAGAGAAAUUUGAGAGAAGGGAUAGUGGAUAUGGGGAAUUUUAUUGCUGUGGGAUGGUUUGGGCCUUCUGUAGGGCCCAAGGGAAGGCUUUGGGAGGUCAGAGAUGGGUGGGAGAUGGAGUCAAAUGAAAAUGACUCGGGAGGCUUGGACUGAAAUGGACAUGGAUCUGAUUAUUCUUGAUGAUAAUGUAGGGAGAGGUGGGAGGUCAGUCUAUAUGACCUCCCUGACCAGACUCUUACAGCACCUUGCACCUCACCUUUAAUCUAUUUAUCCAUGUGUCACAACUGCAGUUUUACACCUAUCUGUGGGAUUGUUGUAUCAAACUUGACUCCUUUACUAGACUAAGCUCCAUACAAAAGGGACCAUACCUGCUUUUGUUCACUAUUGUAUCUCAAGCACAGUGUAUGGCAUAUAGUAGGUACUCAGCAAUGAUAAAUUGAAUUAAUGAAAUCAGAGCUAGAAGAUGUUGAUGACCAAAAAAGGCGGGGGGAUAGGAGUGAAGCAGUACAAAGGGAGCUAAAGAGAACCAACAGGAGAUACUGUUGAAUUUGCAAGGAGGACAUCUUGCUGCAAUCAGUGAGGCUCCUUUGGAAGAUUUACAGCUCAAUCCUCAUGGACGUAACUUAGCCGAUCUUGAAGGGACAAUACUGUGAACCUAGUGUCUGAAAGCAGAGAACUAUCGAAAGACUAUAUUAAUUACCAAUAAAGAAGUUGUUAGAUGGAAAUUUGGGGGGAAAACAAAAAUCUAGAGACAACUUCAAAGAUGACUUCUGUAAGAACCUAGUCCUGACUAAGGAAGUAACAACUGUUACAGUUCUGUAGGUGUCUGAGGGGACAGGGUGGACCUAGGAGAGAAGAGGUGCUUUUGGCAUGGGGUGGAGCGGGGUGAGAAGAAUGAGAGAAUAGGAUAGAAAGUAGCAUUGCAACAUUCUGAAGCAGGGAAGCAGUGGGCCAUAUUUGGAAUAGAUUCAGGAACUGGGGCACUUUAGGGAGUAUGGCCAUGCCAAAGACAGUUAUUUGGGAAAGAGAGAGUUGGUCAAAGUUGGAACAAAUGAUUUAACUACCUGGGAUGUGGGGCUCUCUCCUACCUGAGUAGGACUUGGAGUCUAGAGGUUGGAAUGCCAAAGGUUUGUGGGAACUGUACUCUUCCCUUAUGCUACCAAGUGUCACCCAAGACAAAUAUCAUAAGACAGUAGUACAGAGUUAGCUCACCUUUGACAAAAGUCAUAACAAAGUUGAAGAAUCACCUCUAGGGAAGAUUUCAUUCUGUUUCCAUUUUAAUUUUGUACCAGUCAGGAACAGCGUUACAUUCCUUUCACACCCACCCCCUCUGUGCAUUCAUAGCGCAUACUCUUCAUUUUUCUUGUUAAGACCUGCAUGUGAGAAGUGAUUUUUUUUCCUUACUGGAUCAUCAUUCAAUAGCAGAGUAGGACACCUCUGAGCAAUCACUGAGUUUCAUCUUUCUGUCACAGAGGAAUUCAGUGACUCACCUUUUGCAAACUGCAUUAACUCCUUCAGGCCAAGAGGCCACUGGCCAGCAUUUUGGAGGAAGUAAUUUACUAAAUGGUGCCUUUGUGGCCAGAAAAGCUUAACACACAUAAAAGAGAGAAACCACAAAUUCCAUUUCUUCUCUUCAGAGUGUUGGAAACAAUUAGGAUUAAUUAUGUGUUUUUGUGUGGAAGAGAUGAUAUGAAUUUCAAUGGCAUAUAGAAAAAGAAAAGAUAAACCUAUUUUUUAAGGGAAAUAAUUCCAGUUUAGGUCCAUUAUAGCUACACAAUAUCAUUAUGAGAUAUGAGAAGGAGAUAACUAAAUUAUUCAUAUUAUAGUUUUAUUUGUAUUCUAUUCCUUAUUUUUCCUAUAAAAUGUCCCUAUUAGUUAUUAAAACUAGCAUGUUUUGUAAAGAGAUUUAUGUUAAUUACAAAGAAAGAUUCCUUGCUUAACAGCAAAUUCUAUAGUGAAUUUCAGGGUUUUUUAAUGUGUGAUUUCUAUGGUGUAGAAUAUUUCUUGCUAAUGGUUCGUGCCAUCUAUAUAUUUAGUGAUCUUUGAACCCCAUGUUCAUUAUUAUGGUUAUAGCUGUACCGAAAUGGCAACAUAUUAUUAAAAUAUGAAGCACUGAUUGGAGAAACUAGAUAUAAUUAUGCUUGUAAGGAAAACAAAUCUUCUAGAAGAUUUUAGAAAACAAAAUAAUACCUUUAAAAUGUUGUACUCAAAGUAAACACAUUAUGACAGAUGACAAAUACCAGGUUUUCAAAAAAGAAGGAGAGAGACUGAACACAGUAUCAAAGGCCAUCUCAAAAUAUUUGCUCACUUCAAAAAACUGUACUUUUUUAAUAGGAGGUUUUCCAGAAUUUUCUUUUGAUAGAUUUGAAAUGUUUUAUUAUACAAAUGAGUAAAUAUAGUCAUUGUUAUUUCAGCAAAAUCUGAAGUCCUACCACUGGGGAGUGUCAUUCCUAGCUUUGUGCUAUUAACUUUUAGCCCAGUAGGUCUAUUUCUGUGUCAUGAAGGCUAGGAGCCUGAAAAAAUAAUGAAAACUCGUUCCUGUCACCAGCUGAAUCAGUUCCAUUAUCAUAAUAGUGCUAACAGUUCAGGGAGAAAAACAGGUAUCAAAUACUCUCAUAUCAGGCUGCAGAAAGAUCUUGUCUCACAAAAGAGACCCAGACAUGGAAGACUGAGCUUAAGCUAAAUGUCCCGUAGACUGACCAAGAGUUGAUCAUUCAUCUACUGAAUUUCUCUAGAAGGGGAUAUAUUCAUUAUUGUUUAGGACCAGGUAGACAAUUUACAUUCGCAGUAUAUUUUUAAUGUAAUAAUGGCUUAAUAACACUGCCAGAUGUUUGCAAAGUGUGUUUACUUUGGAUACAACUAAAAGGAAAUAUAUUUUUAGCACAGUAACCUUUUUGCCUAAGUAUAUUUUUAUUAAAGUAAUUAUUUAUUUAUACAAAUGUGUUUUGGAAUUGCAUGAACAUUUGAACUUUUAACACUAGUACUCCUUUUUUUUUUUUUUUUUGGCUGCAUUGGGUCUUCGUUGCUACGCGUGGGCUUUCUCUAGUUCUGGGUGCAGGGGCCACUCUUUGUUGUGGUGUGCAAGCUUCUCAUUGCGGUGACUUCUCUUGUUGCAGAGCAUAGGCUCUAGGCGCGCAGGCUCAGUAGUUGUGGCUCGCGGGCUCUACAGCGCAGGCUCAGUAGUUGUGGCGCACGGACUUAGUUGCUCUGCGGCAUGUGGGAUCUUCCCGGACCAGGGCUCGAACCCAUGUCCCCUGCAUUGGCAGGUGGAUUCUUAACCACUGCACCACCAGGAAAGCCCUAGUACUCCUUUGAAGACUUAGUUCUGAAAGCUUUCUGAGAAAGAGAAAAAGUGCUUAUAUGAGGAAGCACGUAAGCUGGUAAUGAAUCAAGUAGUAGGGGAAAGAGGUGGCAAUUGCUGAGAUCAGAAAAAAAGAGUGAGCAAAGAGAAUUGAACAAAAUCACAAGAAAGACAACAGUGGUAUAUGAGAUCAGAAAUAAAGCAGUGAAAACUAUCUCAGAAGAAAAGAAAAAAUAAGACCCAGAAAAAAAUAAAAUGUACGUAUCACAAAAAGUUACCACCCUGACAGCAUGAUUCCCAUUAAUCUCUACCUAAACACCUUUCUUCGUAUGUGUCUGGUCAUUCGUAAACAGACAAGGCUGAGCUAUCUGCCUUAAGCCCUAAGGUAUUACAACAUCAUCUUUUGUAGCUGGGACUCUGGAAGUAAAUCCUGGAAAAUUGGGAGGGACUGCGAACAUUACGAGUUUAUAAGAAAACUUCUGCCACUUACCCUCCAUUAAGUCAUAAGAAUAUCUUAUCCAAAUAAGCAGAAAAUAUGAAAGAAGAGCCAAAAAUUUUAAAAUUACAGGAUUUAUACAUAAAAGUAAUUUAAGAGUGUGAUAUUGUGGAGUUUUAUCAUAACGUAAAAAUCUAUAGGCUGAACUGUGUUAGAAUAUUGUGCUUCCCUUGUUAUUGUUUACCUAACCAGUGUUUAACAUUUUUCCUACUCAUUGUUGAUUGUCAGGUCAUAGGCAUGUAGGUUUUUAUUUUAAAUUACUAUCAAACUGUAAAGACAAAAAAGACAAAAUGUCAGCGAGGUGAUUUUCUGUAACGCUCCUGGUUUCACUUCUUUGAGGAAUAAGUUAAUUUUCUGCUAAUGGUUUUGGAGCCUAGGUAAGCAACUUCCCCUAUUGCCUGUAAGUAACUUACAUAAUGGACAUUGUUUCUUUUGGACACAUUUGACUUGUGUUGGGAACUUUUAAUGAAAACUACUUGAGAAUGGGAUGAGUUUAAUUAUUUCUUUUGCCUUCUGAAAUCCAUUGUAAUUGAUUAGUCGGGAUUAUACUGCUACCAAAGAAACAAAUAAAGAAUACCAUGUAUCAUAUAAACCAGAAGUGAAAAACACCCCAACCUUCUAGUGACCAACACUAUGGCAUGCACAAAGGGCGAUGCAUUAGGUGGUGGAGGGAGGGACGGAAGUGGAUAAUUAUUUGUAGCAAUGCUUUUACUGUUGUUGGAAUGAGACAGACUAACAGUGGCAGCAGUCAUUUUGCUGAAUCAAAGUCCAUGUUAGUCGCAUUAUACACUGCCACAAAAGGUUGUUAAGGCUGGUAUUAGCAUGUACCACUGAGGACAUUGGAAGGACUCGAUCUGUCACACUAAAUCGCCUUCUUGCCCUCAACCAUUGAAGUCUCCAGCUCCUCUGACAUGUUCUUUCAUUAAUGGCCUGGCCUUGACAACUGAUCCUAAUUGCCUCUGAACCGCACUUCAUGUAUUAUUGGUGUCUGCCUGCCCUGGUUCAUGUCAACAAGCCACAGCAUGCACAGGGUGUGCCCAGUGCCUUUGCUGAAGUCACGCUCACAUUGUCUAUUCCUCUGAGGGGUCUGGGUCUCACUGGGAGUAAAGUCGAACGCUAAAGAUCCUCCUGUCUCUUCUUCGUAAUACUUUCCUGUCAUUUUGUGCUAUAAGGACCCACUAAAACAUCAAACCAAUAAGGCAGCAUUUUAUUAAAGCAGAGAUAUAAAUGCUGACUUAAAUUUGCCCUUACUUCAGUAACUAGUAAAAUGUGUGUUUAUUGUAAAAUCCUUUUUCUACCUUAGAUAGUACAGUUUACAUUCUUUUUUCCUUGAUUAUGCACAGCAAUUUCAAUUUGAUACAUGAUAAUGGCCAAAAAAGGUCUAUAAUAUUAUGUAGUUUCCAGGUGGAAUUACAAAUGAGACCAUAAUUCCCCAAAAGUAAAUUAUUGAAGGUUUGAAUAGGAUAUUUUACUCCUAACACUUAUCAACAGAUUUGUAUUUACUGCAUUUUCUAGAAGUAGUUAAAAUAAUCAAUUUUAGUGCAUUACAUGUAUUUAGAAGUCUUUAUUUUGUUCUGACAUUUUCAGAAGAUACUCAUAAAUGGCAAAACAGCUUAGAUGUAUUUUAAUUUACUAUUCUAUAAGGUGAGUUAUAUGCAGUGAAAUACUUUAAAAUCUGAAACAUAACAUUAGAAAUGCUCAAGAUAUUUACCUUUUUUUUUUUUUUUUUGGCGGGGUGGGGGAAGUGUCUCUGAGAUUUAAAAUUUACCUCAUUCCUGUGACAAUUUUUUACAA